GAGCGGAGCGGAACCCCGCAACGGGGAACGCGGGGUGCGCGCGGCUCAGCGCCGGCCAAUGAGAGCGAGAGAGCCGCGAGCGGCGCCGGCCAAUGAGAGCGAAGGGCGUGCGUAGUGAUCCAACGUGGGGAGAGGGCGGCGGGAGCCGCGGCCGCCUGCACUCACCGUUGCCGGGCGCGGAGGUGGGGGUGGGCAGCGGGCGGACGGCGCGCAGCAGCACCAGCAGCUCCAACAACCGCACCAUGCCGGCCCCGGGCCCGCCGGCCCCAACGCCUAUAAAGCGGGCCGCGGGCGGGCAGGGCGCGUGCGCGCCGCUCCGCCCCUCGGCCAAUGGACGACCUCGAGCUGGCGCGCGAACCGUCAGGAGGCCCCGCCCCCUCCUCGAGGCCCCGCCCCCUCCGCGGGACAUCGCGGCGCGGCCCGAGCCGCCUCGGCGUGCGUGACCUUGGCUGCUGCCAGGGUCGGGAGAUGAGGAUCUGCUGAACCUCGUGAGGUUCUCCCGGGCUCACUGCUGGGCGGCACGCUGUCCGUCGGGCACGCCUCGCUGUCAGUGUCAUCAAUGGAGACAUUAAACAGCAUCGGCCCCACUACUCACUGCUGACAAACACCACUCGUCGCUGAGAUUCACAGGUACUCACCCUGCAAGAGCACAGGGCUGCUGUGCAGAACAACACACCUCCCAGCAGGGCGCUCCGUGCUGAGCUGUGGGGAUCUGGUGCUGGCAGGGUGAGCCUGGAGGGGCCUCUGCCACCGACUGACUGUUCUGCUCUUAACUGUUGUCUUGGGAAGCGUUGGUAGGCAGCUGGAUUCCUCCCAGCCGUGCCAAACGUCUCGAGGUGCUCGGUGUGCUACGAGGCCGGGCUCCAGAGCAAAAUCUGUAUCAACCAUUUCUAGUAAGUCACAGCUUUAUGGGUGUAUAUGGACUAACGGACACUGAGCCCAUCAGACAGGACUCUGAGGCUGCUGAGAGCUAAGCAGUGCUGCAGUGAAUGGAUAUCUCUUAGCAGGACAUAAGAGUGCCAGGUGUGUUGUUCAGCUCUGUCCAUUAGGGAUAUCCCAGCCGUGUUUCUGGGUCUCCUCUUGCAGGAGUUUAUACCACAAACAGCUCAUAAACGUGCCAAGCCCAAGCUAAAGUUUAUACAUUAUCCUAUUAUCCUCUUGACUUCACAUCCAAAAGAGCAUUAAAGAAUAAUUUCAGUAAUUCCAACAGAACAGACAAAAGGGGAGAAUAAUCACAAUUUUAAAUAUAUUUACUAGUUGUGCGUGCAAAUACGUUCUGUAUAGUAUCUUCGUAACUAAAUCCACUGCAGGCUUACCACGAGAGUGCUGCUUUUUAAUGGACCGAGAUCUGUACAUCCAGCCUUGCCAUGCUCAUUUCUCACAAAUAGGGCUGGUCUUUUGAGAUUUCCCACUUCUUAAGAACAGGCCCUGGUGUCACUGGCUUUUUGUCAGUUGUUGUCACUGAAGAGCUUGAGCUGCUGCCCUGAGCUCCUGCAGGGAGGGUUUUCAGCCCCGAGGCGACCACGAUGGGUGGGCCUGCCUCCCGGCGCCCGUCCCGGGUGCAGUAAUAGUUGUCAGCGAGUUUGUGGCUGGGGCCCACCGGGAGCCGGGGCGGCGGCUGCGUCCUCUUGGAGAUCUCCGUGUAGCGUAGCGCCAGCUUGGCCUGGAGGUCCCGCCCCGCCAGGAAGUUGCGGAGCCGCUGGAUGAGGCGGGUGGCCGUCGCCAUCUUGGCUGUUG
rnacentral:lncRNA from 1 species